GCCACAAAAUUCUAUUCUUUCAUUUAAAAGACGUACAGAAGGGAGCAGUCAAAGCUGUAGGGCAGCACUGCAAAGACACUGGGAAUCAAGACAGCCUCCAUCUUUCUGCUUAACCAUGAUCAGCACACAGCUUCGUAAGCUGGCUGCUGGUGCUCCAGCAUCUUGUCUAUGAUCCUGGCAACCAGAAGAGGAAGGGAAAGGAAAACUCAUGCAGCAUCUUGCUGAGUCUGUUCUGUUGAAGAAUGUUCCUUGCAGAUUCCUGAAAACAGUUCUGCUUACAAUUCCAUGGCCAGAAUCUAGUCCCCCUUAGCUGCAGAGGAAGCCAGAGAAACAGGAGCAUUUGCUAUGGUCUGGGUGCUGCUGGAGUGUGUCCCUCAAAGUUGCAUGUGUGGAAGGCUUGAUCUCAGAGUCCCCCUGAAGCACCGGGGCUGCUCCAUCCUUGGCAGGGAUUAAUGCUGUUCUCAUGCAGGGAGUGGAGUCUCACAGGAGUGGACUAGGUCCUGCAGGGUGGGUUAUUUUCAAAGCUAACCUGGCCGCACACCGCUGUCUUGUUUCCUGCCUUAUCCAGUGACACUAUUCCCUCUCCCCUGCUCUCAGUCUUUCCUGCUCCCUCCCUCUUUUUCUCUUCCAUGAACUUCCCCAAUAGGAUGGUAUCUACCAUGUAGUGACAGGCUAUAAGGCCCUCCCCAAAGGCCAUUCCGCUAGGGCUGCGCCAUCUGGGAAUUUAGCCUCAAAAACUGUAAGCAAAACAACUCUCUUUUCUUUAUAAAGCAUCCAGCCUUGGGUAUUUUGUCAUAGCAACACAAAGUGACUAACUUCAUCUUAGUUCACAGACACCCUCUCCACUUUUCUCCAGCACUUACUAGCUACACUGCAUGAUAUGAGUCUCCUUCAAUUAUUCUGUGUUCAGCGGACAAGGAAGCUGUCUUUACUAAAACUGUGAGCUCCUUGGAUAAUUAAUUAUCACGUUCCUUUUACUGUAUCAUUCACAGUGCUUGAUAUGGGGCUAGAAUGUGUUGCCAUUCCCCAGAAUUUUAGAGGUUCUAUUUCUCAUGAAAAGGAGAACCAUGAGCAGUAGCUAAGUAGCCAGCAAUCAGACACAGUAUCAUUAACAUCUGAUGAUUCGCUUAUUGUGUAUGCAGCCCCUCUGCCCGGGCUCAUAAACCAGAGCCAUGAAGAGUGUGACUGCACUCAGGAAACUUACAGUUUUAGCAAACAAUGCUUCCUGCUCAAGGAACACAGGAAAACAGGAGGGAGCAAUGAGUGGCUCAUAGGCUACAUGGUACAGAUAACUGGAGAAGAAAAGGACCAUCGAAAACCUUGGUGCGGAUGCUUUGCUGAAGAAAACAGGACCUGCUAUGGGAAUUUAUGAUGUUGAAGUGCAGCAGCUAAUUCUAUGCAUCCACUUGACGGAGCCACAAGGAAACCUCUGACCCAUACAAUGACUCUGCAGUGACUUUUGGCAUAUUGAGUAUCUUCUAAACUGCAGCCUCAGGAAUAAAGAGGAAGGUUGCAUCCCUUUUUCUGAAGCGGUGUAUGAGCUACUGAGGGAGGAGGAAGAAGACAACCCAUGACAAAGUACAGUGACAGAAGGAUGUGCCAAGUUGUAAGGAUGCAGGGAAGGGCCAUUAAGCGGAGGCAAAGAGGGCCUCCAGGAGACAGGGUGAGACUACGUCUUAAAAGACUUCUCUAAGAAGUGGUGGCCAAGUGGGGAGCGCUACAUGUACUAUAUCGUCUCAUUCAAACCUUGCAGAGACCUUAAAGAACAGAUGCAAAGCACAGUAGUUAUCGGAGUACAAAGAGUGUUUCACUGAUGAGUCACCACAUUAGGGUUACAGUUGGGAUUCCUGCCUGAAUGCCUAAAUGCGACCUGAAUGCAGUAAGAGCCAAGUGCCCCAUCGUGAGAUGACGCCCCAGUUGGAAGCCUCUCAGGGAAGCCAUCAUUUUCAGAACAAAGAAGAAACUCUGUCAUGACUGUACCUGUCCCCACCAGCAUUUUCUCCUUAUCCUCUCCUGUUUCCAUUCAAGCCAUAUCACAGACCUGGUCUUUCAUCCGUCUAGCCUCUCCCUUGCCCUAUUCGCUGUCUGGAAAACUGUGACUCCUCUUUCAAAGCCCAGGACAAUUGUUAUCUUUUAUGAGGAGCAACCCCAAACUUCAGCUCCCCACAAAACAUUUUCUCAGGUUUUGUAAAUACAGACAUAGUGCCCCAUGACUGGAGACAUACAUAUAUCCCUUCCCGUAAGAAUGAGUGUUUUUCAGUGGCAGCAGCCACCUCCCAUUUGAAUGACACUCACUGCUUUUCUGAAUGUGUCUAGCAUAGAAGGUACCUAAGAGGUGUUCCCAGAUGAGCUUUCUUAUUGUUUUGUAACUGUAUCGAAGGUACUACAUCCCAGGACAUUUAUCUACCUGUUUUGAGAAUCAUAACACUCAGCCCUUACAAAAGCCCUGUGAAGUUGGUUCUGUCAUUCUUGCCUGAGGAAACUGGGCAAAGAAAGAGGAAACUGGGAAAGAAAGGAGAAGCAAAACCCAGACCAUGCACCACAGCUCCAGAGCCCAGACCUUUGGCAACUCUGCUCAGAGACCAUUGUUGGUUGUUUAAAGAUGUGCUAAAUGAUUCACAGACCACUCAGAGCUCUUGCAAUAUUAGUAGUCAGCUAAAUUUGACUCUAUACCUGUGCUUAAAAGGGAGAUGAAGGAAACUCAAUAGGAAAAGAGCCUGACUCCCAGUCUUGCCAAAAACAAAACUUGCAACUGUUUUCUUCUGUUACACUAAGAAUAUUUUCCAGGGAUGGUAGUGCUGGGACGUGCCUGUAAUCCCAGGACUCUGGUAGGCUGAG